rnacentral:rRNA from 1 species
AUUGAACGCUGGCGGCAGGCCUAACACAUGCAAGUCGAGCGGAUGAAGGGAGCUUGCUCCUGGAUUCAGCGGCGGACGGGUGAGUAAUGCCUAGGAAUCUGCCUGGUAGUGGGGGAUAACGUCCGGAAACGAGCGCUAAUACCGCAUACGUCCUGAGGGAGAAAGUUGGGGAUCUUCGGACCUCACGCUAUCAGAUGAGCCUAGGUCGGAUUAGCUAGUUGGUGGGGUAAAGGCCUACCAAGGCGACGAUCCGUAACUGGUCUGAGAGGAUGAUCAGUCACACUGGAACUGAGACACGGUCCAGACUCAUACGGGAGGCAGCAGUGGGGAAUAUUGGACAAUGGGCGAAAGCCUGAUCCAGCCAUGCCGCGUGUGUGAAGAAGGUCUUCGGAUUGUAAAGCACUUUAAGUUGGGAGGAAGGGCAGUAAGUUAAUACCUUGCUGUUUUGACGUUACCAACAGAAUAAGCACCGGCUAACUUCGUG